GUCCUCGAUCUGCUGCGGACAGAUGAAGUGGAUGUGGCUGUCGAAGCCUCCGGCUGUCAGGAUGCGGCCCUCACCGGCGAUGGCCUCCGUUCCGGGACCGACGAUGAUGUUGACGCCCGACUGCGUGUCCGGGUUACCCGCCUUGCCGAUGGCCGCGAUGCGUCCGUCCUUCAGCCCCACGUCUGCCUUGUAGACGCCGGUCCAGUCGACAAUCAGCGCAUUGGUGAUGACGGUAUCGACGGCACCCUCGGCGCGGGUGACCUGGCUUUGCCCCAUGCCGUCGCGGAU
rnacentral:sRNA from 1 species